rnacentral:rRNA from 1 species
CUAAGAAUAUUCCGCAAUGGACGAAAGUCUGACGGAGCGACGCCGCGUGGAUGAAGAAGGCCGAAAGGUUGUAAAAUCCUUUUGUCGGGGAAGAAUAAGCGUGGGAGGGAAUGCCCGCGUGAUGACAUGAACCGGCGAAUAAGCCCCGGCUAACUACGUGCCAGCAGCCGCGGUAACACGUAGGGGGCGAGCGUUGUUCGGAAUUACUGGGCGUAAAGGGCAUGUAGGCGGUUUUGUAAGCCUGGCGUGAAAUUCUGCAGCUUAACUGUAGGACUGCGCUGGGAACUGCGAGACUGGAGUCACGGAGAGGGAGCCAGAAUUCCAGGUGUAGGGGUGAAAUCUGUAGAUAUCUGGAAGAAUACCAAUGGCGAAGGCAGGCUUCUGGCCGAUGACUGACGCUGA